UGGGGAAUUUUGGACAAUGGGCGAAAGCCUGAUCCAGCAAUGCCGCGUGUGCGAAGAAGGCCUUCGGGUUGUAAAGCACUUUUGUCCGGAAAGAAAUCCUUGGCUCUAAUACAGUCGGGGGAUGACGGUACCGGAAGAAUAAGCACCGGCUAACUACGUGCCAGCAGCCGCGGUAAUACGUAGGGUGCAAGCGUUAAUCGGAAUUACUGGGCGUAAAGCGUGCGCAGGCGGUUUGCUAAGACCGAUGUGAAAUCCCCGGGCUCAACCUGGGAACUGCAUUGGUGACUGGCAGGCUAGAGUAUGGCAGAGGGGGGUAGAAUUCCACGUGUAGCAGUGAAAUGCGUAGAGAUGUGGAGGAAUACCGAUGGCGAAAGGCAGCCCCCCUGGGCCAAUACUGACGCUCAUGCACGAAAGCGUGGGGAGCAAACAGGAUUAGAUACCCCUGGUAGUCCACGCCCUAAAACGAUGUCAACUAGUUGUUGGGGAUUCAUUUCCUAGUAACGUAGCUAACGCGUGAAGUUGACCGCCUGGGGAGUACGUCGCAAGAUUAAAACUCAAAUGAAUUGACGGGGUCAUAGCUG
rnacentral:rRNA from 1 species